CCUACGUGAGGCAGCAGUGGGGAAUAUUGCACAAUGGGGGAAACCCUGAUGCAGCGACGCCGCGUGAGUGAAGAAGUAUUUCGGUAUGUAAAGCUCUAUCAGCAGGGAAGAAGAAAGACGGUACCUGACUAAGAAGCCCCGGCUAACUACGUGCCAGCAGCCGCGGUAAUACGUAGGGGGCAAGCGUUAUCCGGAUGUACUGGGUGUAAGGGGAGCGUAGACGGCUGUGCAAGUCUGAAGUGAAAGCCCAGGGCUCAACCCUGGGACUGCUUUGGAAACUGUGGAGCGAGAGGGCUGGAGAGGUAAGUGGAAGUCCUAGUGUAGCGGUGAAAUGCGUAGAUAUUAGGAGGAACACCAGUGGCGAAGGCGGCUUACUGGACAGUAACUGACGUUGAGGCUCGAAAGCGUGGGGAGCAAACAGGAUUAGAUACCCGAGUAGUC
rnacentral:rRNA from 1 species